rnacentral:rRNA from 1 species
UACGGGGGGGGCAAGCGUUGUUCGGAAUUACUGGGCGUAAAGGGCUCGUAGGUGGUCAACUAAGUCAGACGUGAAAUCCCUCGGCUUAACCGGGGAACUGCGUCUGAUACUGGAUGGCUUGGAUUUGGGAGAGGGAUGCAGAAUUCCAGGUGUAGCGGUGAAAUGCGUAGAUAUCUGGAGGAACACCGGUGGCGAAGGCGGCAUCCUGGACCAAUAUUGACACUGAGGAGCGAAAGCUAGGGGAGCAAACGGG